GAUGAAGAUAGAAUGAAAUGAAUGAAAUGAAAUCAACCCGAAUAAGAUCCGCAGAUUGCAGGACGCAUUAUGUUACUGCCUAUCGCGCCGCAGAAAACAAACUACGCAGAACAACGGAACAAAGAAACCGCCACAGAACGAAAGGCCGAAUAAAUAAACGAAUGAAACAUUCAACCUAAACAGAAUCGAAAUCAAAUAUAACCAUCUGACAACGUCAAAUAACGCAUAUAGUCAGGAAAGUCCCGCAGGACCAAUCAAGCAACACCCAGUCAGUUAAUAAAAUAAAUGAAACCGAAAUAGAAUCAAAGCAACCAGAAAAGAAACGAAACAAACAAGAAACAGCACACCGUCAUCAAAGAGCUAUACUAUUAUCGAAGAGAAACGGCUUGAAUAAAUUGAAUUAAAGAAUACCAGAGAAGAAUAUCAAAAUGUCAAAAUGUCCAAGGAAUGUCCAAGGAUAGAGGUGACAAGAAAUAAAAUAAAAUAAAUAGUGGUAAACAGUGAACGUUGUGCCAUCAUGAGUCAAAAUAAACUAAAUCUUAACAGUUACCUUGAUUCAAUUUAAUUCAGAAUGAAUGAACAAUGACAGCAUGAACGAAUGAACGACUGAACAAUGAAAUCAAUUAAAGAUAUUAAAGAAGAAUGAAGUAAAAAAUAAUAAUAAGCAUAAAGUAUAAAGUGAAGGCCGUAACCAACCUAAUGUAAAUAAUGUAAUGUAAUGCACUGUAAUAUAAGUAAUGCAAUAUACUGUAAAACAGAAUGUAAUAAUAAACUGAAUACAAAAUACAAAAUACAAGAAAUGAACUCAAUAAAUAUAACCGUAAAGAUUAUUAACUACAAUACUCUAUUUCUCACUAGAGUAGAUUAUAAGUUAGAUUGUAAACGGUAAAUGGUAGAUGAUAAAUGAUCAUGUCAAUACAAUUGCAAACAGAACUAAAUAAUGAAUGACAUAUCAAAAUAGAGUAGCUAAAGCAACAAAUAAAUGAAUCAAAUAUAAAGUACGCAGUUCAAUAAACACUAUACCAGUGUAUAAACUGAAAUAAGAAUAAAAUGAAAUAAAAUAAAAUAGAAUAAAUAAAUAAGUACAUAAUAAAUACGAGUACUUGAAUGAUAAGGUUAUAAUAAAAUUCACG